rnacentral:rRNA from 1 species
UACGUAUGGAGCAAGCGUUAUCCGGAUUUACUGGGUGUAAAGGGUGCGUAGGUGGCAGUGCAAGUCAGAUGUGAAAGGCUGGGGCUCAACCCCGGAGCUGCAUUUGAAACUGCAUAGCUAGAGUACAGGAGAGGCAGGCGGAAUUCCUAGUGUAGCGGUGAAAUGCGUAGAUAUUAGGAGGAACACCAGUGGCGAAGGCGGCCUGUUGGACUGUUACUGACACUGAGGCACGAAAGCGUGGGGAGCAAACAGG